ensembl:lncRNA
GUAACUGACAGGUGGCUGACAUGUGACUAACAGGUGGACUCACCUGCUCAUUUCUAAAUAUUAAAGGACUCAUUUGACACGAAUGAUUUUGGUCGUUAUUGUUACAUUUAAGUUAUUUAUAGACAUUGGUUGAUUGACAUACAUCAGGAGAGGAGGAGAAGAGUUAAACCGUCCCACGUGAUACGACUCGACCAAUCGAGGCUUUGCAUCCCAGGCAGGACGAUGACAUCGUCUCAAUACUGCAGACAGAUGAGAGAGGUACCGUCUGUCCAAUCAGAAGGGUCCGCGUGCUAUAAGGCCCUCCCCUUUCCGUAAGAAGUUAAUGUCGCUGUGAUUUGAACUUCAGGGCCAC